rnacentral:tRNA from 1 species
AAAAAUUUAGUUAAAAAAUAACAUUGGCUUGUCAAGCCAAAAUUACUUCCCGUAGUAAUUUUUA